ACACAGGAGCCAGAUCCUAAAGGCUUUGUAUGCCACAUUAGGAAAGAAUUUGGAAUAGAGCUUCUGGUUGGAAAACAUUUUCUGUAACCAGCCCGACACAGAGACGGGGUUUUGCAUGUUGGCCAGGCUUGUCUCGAACUCCCGAGCUCAAGUGAUCAGCCCGCCUUGGCCUCCCAAAGUGCUGGGAUUACAGGUGUGAGGCACUGCUCCUGGCCAAGACAAAUAUUUCUUGACGCUGACUUCAGGAGCUAGAAUCAGAACUGGUUGGAGUCUAGCUAAACUAAAAA
rnacentral:antisense_RNA from 1 species